rnacentral:tRNA from 1 species
UGGGUUGUAACUCAGUGGUAGAGUGAAUGCCUAGCUUGCAUAAGGCACUGGGUUCAACCCCCAGAACCACAG